GCAUACGUGAUGCAUGGAAAUAAUUUGGAUUGGUAAAUAUAGCCCUUUCUUGUGAACUGCUCAUUAAUUGCAAUAUUCAACAGAGGUGAAAUUCAACAGAAAUUCAAAGUCAACAGAGAAACAGAAUAACAACUGGUUGCAUCAGGAAGCUGGAUGCAAAUCUGAGCUCACAUCAGCUUUUACUGUUUCCACAACAGUCUCCUAUAGAUAAAUUUAGUCCUUUGACCUUCCUAUAUCUUCAAACGUCUAUUUGUUUUUAUAAUUACUUUUAAGAAGGCUAAUAAGAUACAGCUAAAAAUACCCCCCGCCCCCCAAACCAGCCAGUCUUUCAGUCUUUCAGUCGAUUUCUGAUGGUAUUGCAGCUCCUCUGCUACCAGAACAAAAAUGAUUAACAAUUGUUUUGAUUGUCUCAAAUGUUUAGGCUCACAAGUGCUGUUUCAAAAGCAAUGCUUGUUACAUUUCUGUGUUAAAUAAGGUAUUUAAAAAAAAAAGUUUUAGUUCACAGACUAAUCGACUGAUUUUGGAUUAUGGCUAUGAUUUCUAAAGAAUCCAACAGGCAUUGUUUAGUACUGUAAUCUGGAGGUCUGUAUAUUAAAACAAGUCUGUAUGUUGACUUAGUGCCUCAACUUUUAAUACCAGAAACACGUUCAGGCAGGCUCGGUAUAUACUGCAUGUGUAAAUAUUGUUUCUUAUGUAGAGUACGUUAAUACUCCCACCAGCAUUACUGUUAGGCAAGAUAAUGAUUCAUGAUGAGUCUACACAUAUCCAUUAUCCAUGCUCAGGUGGUAGAGCAGGUUGUUCACUAAUUGUAGGUAGGGAUGUCACGAGAACCGAUACUUCGGUACCAACAUUCUUAAAACGUGACGGUACUUGUUUUUCUGCAGUUCUGUUGGUCUCGGGUGUAACGAAAGUACCUAAAGUUCCGAGGUUGCGACUUUUCAGAACCUGAAGGGGGCAGCAAAUACGCGCAAGUGUUUCAGUCCGGCCACGAGUGGUAAAGAAGAAGAACUACGCACACGGGAAAAACUACAAAAGUUUUCCCCGUGUGUAUCUUUGUUUUUCUAUACCUUGCAUUCGAGGCGGAUAAAAACGGACAUAUAAUUGAUGCUCUGAAGCCGGUGUGCAAACGAUGCCAUCGUACACUUCAAACAAAGGGAGGAAACGCCUCGAAUUUGGCGAAGCACCUGAAAGACAGGCACCACAGUCUCUUCAAAGACUUCAAGUAUCAGCCAGAGGAGGAUGUCCAACAGGAGAGUCGGGAGCAAAGUCAGCAAACAUUAACACAGCCAACCUUAAGAGAAGCUUAUAAAAGGCACAGAAAAUAUGACAAAAACUCAAGCGAAGAAAGGAAACUGGAUAGGGCAGUUGCUGAAUGCAUAUGCAUGGAUCAAGUUAGAAAAAGCAUGGAUUCCAGCAAAUGCUUCAGCAGUUCAACCCCAGAUACUACCCCAGAAAUUACUUCAUGUAUACAGAGAUCCCCAACCUAUACACCAAAACCAGAGACCUCAUUUCAGAACAUCUCCAAGAAAAACCAUUUUAUGCCUACAUAUUUAUUAUAUAUCUAUUUUGUAAUUGCUUUUUUAUUAUUAUUAUGACUGUUGCCACUAUCAUUUUUUUGCAGUGCUCAAAUGUUUAAAUAAAGGAAUUAAUGUUUAA